CAGAACAAAAGGGAAAAACCAUGAGAGAAAAAAAAUUAAAAAAGGUGAAAAUAAUGAUGCAUUGAUCCACAUUCAGUCUCCAUAGGUCUCUCCCUGGAUAGAAAUGGCAUUUUCCAUCCAAAGUUUAUUGAGAUUACAUUAAAUCACUGAAUUGAACCAUGUCUAUUAUAGUUGAUCAUAACAAAAUCUUGUUGCUAUGUACAAUAGUUCCCUGGUUCUACUUCUUGCUUCACUCAGCACUAAUUUUUUAAGUUUUUAAAAAUUUUAUUUUUUUUGUUGCAAAGACCAGAUCUUCUAUAGGUACCACUAGCUAAUAUGAGGCCCACAAAGAGAAAUGCUCAUUCUUAAUGAGAGUCGACUGUAAUUUUUCAGCUGAAGUUCUGAAGGUCUCAAAUUUUGCUGGAUUCUUUGGUAAAAUUAAAGAUAAUGGUUACUGCAGAGAAGACAGGAAAAGCAGAAGUCACUGAAAAGAGUGAUAGCUCUUGAAUGAGAAGUCAAUUUUUCAGUCUUGUCUGACUCUUCCUAACCCCAUUUGGGUUUUGUUGGUUUUUUUGCGGGGGCAAAGAUUACUAGAGUAGUUUGGCAUUUCCUUCUCCAGCUAAUUUUUCAAAUGAGGAAAUUGAGGCAAACAGAUUAACAUGACCUGCCCAGGAUCACACAGCUAGUAAAUGUCUGAAGUCAGAUUUUAACUCAGGAAAAUGAGUCUUCCUGACUCCAGGCCAGGUACUUUAACUGCAUCCCACGUUCAAAUCUUGCCUCUUAGCAUUACCUGUGUGACCAUGAACAAGUAUAGGGUUCAUUUUCUUCAUCCAUUGAAGAAAAAGAAAAGGGGGAAGGUUGGAAUAGAUGACCUCUGAUAUUUCUUCUAGAUCAAUGACCCUAGGACUCAAGUUGUGAUAAAAUAUGAAAAUCUUUGCAAUUCUUCUUGUUGUCUGAGAACUUAGGGAGGAGAGUGAGGAGAGAAAUAGAGAAGGUGGAGAACCAAUAGGCAGGUGGACAGGUAGCCCUGGGCAUCAUAAGGGAGAAAGGUGGGUCCCCUCUAUAGAACAAGUCCUUCAGGGCGGUCUGACUCACUGUUUUUGUAUCAAGCCUCAUUCCACAGAGAUUCAUUCCACAAAUAUUUAUUAAGUGACGGCUAUGUACCCAGACUCCUCCAGAGGCCUCCUCAGACUGAUGUCUUAUCAUGGCACAAAAGUGACCCUGGGGCCUUGAAGAAUAUGCCAGUGGAUAAUAAGCUGGGGCUGGUUCCUACAAAAGCUUUCAGGAUAUCCUAGCCGUGGCCUGAGUGUCAGGCUUAGCUAGCUAGAUGCCCAUCAUCUAAAGGUUAAGGUUGACCACCAGGAAAUUAUUAUUUUAGUCACAGCAAUUUACAAAGACCAUUGAUUAAGGUUCGGUUGCCAUCUCUGUGGUGGAAGGAGUUGGAGUAUGGGGUGCUCAAGGAGAAUUUGGUGUGAGGGCUUGCCAACCCCCUUUCAAAGUUGCUCUUAUCCCCUUGGUGUUUACCUGGCACUUAACUCUUACCUGUGGCUCCAAGAAGCUGUAGCAUGUGUAGUAACCCCACCCCAGUAAAUUGUCUAGGCAGACAGGCUAAACCAGGUUGUGGAUAACCCAUGGGCCUCAAAGCCAUCAGUGAAUUAGUGGGGUGUUUACUCCAAGCAUGUGGACACUCCCUGGUGGAAUGGGCAGAUGAGAACAAUUUGUUCCAAUGGCCAGUGGCUUGAAGCAGGUGCGAUGGGGUGCUUAGAAUUUGGUUAGACAUUGAAGUAACCAAGGGAUCCACUGCAUUUCAGCCAUUGUCAAUCUUCCUCACUUCUGACAGACUGAUGACUUUGUGCGAAUUGCCUCACUUAAAUCCAAUUUACUGUCAAGAUGUCACCCUGUGAUGUCACUGGUCCUCUUUGAAGAUGAAGGACAAACAAUAACCACAUGAAAAAAAAAUCAGAGAAAAUCAAAGAAUGGACACAGAGUGCUAUGUUGGGCUCUGGGGGAUAAAGCAGACAUGGUUCCUGAAUUCAUGCAGUUUGUAGUUCAGCUCCUCACUCAUGUCUUUGCCAAAAAAAAAAACCCCAAAGGGGUCAUGAACACUUGGGCAUGACUUAGACAAGCUCAGCAAUAACAAUGAUAGCCUUAGCACCUAGGGACUCAUCUGAAGGCUGGGGAGCUCAGGUCUUCAUUCAUCUUGCUGUUGGCUACUGGAUACCAGAGCCUCAACUGCCAUGCAAAGCUCUCCAAAGCUAUCAAUAGAAAUUCUCUUUGAACAAAAGGGUUAAGAGAUAUGGCAAUCCAUUCUAAAGGAAAUUUUUUCAUUUCUUGAAUUCAGUAUUUAUUAAGUUUCUACCAGACAGUGGUGAUACAAACACCAAAGAAUGAAAGCCACAUCACAAUAGCUUGUUUGGGUACUGAGGUAGGAGACAUCAGCUGCUCAGCCUGCCUGUUUGCCCAGUUGUUGUUUUUUUUUUUUAAAGGAAGGAAAAAAAAGAGGUUUCCAUGGUAACCUGUGGACUCAAGUUGGCUCCUGACUGGGAGGUUAUAGUUUAAAAGCAGACCAUGAUGCUUUGAAAGCACUCCCCUCCCUUUCCAUAAUUCAAAAGAAAAAAACAGCAGAGAGCUCAUGAAAAGUCCAUGACAUGAGUAGGAAUGUGAAUGAGUCAGCUUACUAAAAAUGGCCUGGAGUCAUUCAUAACACCACGGAAGUCAGAGUUGGAAGGUCCAUCUUACCCUUCUCUAGGCCUUCCUCCCUGCAAUGCAGAAAUUCCUUCUACAACAUUCCUGAUGGGUGGUCAUCCACCUGCUCAAACACUUCCAUUCCCAAUGAACUCCCCAUCUUCUAAGGAGGCCCCCUCCAAGGCCAGACAUCGCCGAUUGUUUUUACUUCCCCAGGAUCAUUCACAUCUGUCCUCUCUUUUCACCUUAUCACCUCUCCUGUUAAACUAUAAAUACCUCUUACCUCUGAUCUGUCUCCACCUCCAAUCCCUCCUUUACAAAGAAGAUCCAAGGAAUCUUCUUAAUACAUUAAUCUGAUCUUGUCACUCCUCUGCUCAACUAUCUUCAAUAACUGUCUUGUGACUUAUUAAGAGAAAUAGAAACUUUUUAUCCUGGCAUCAAAGGCCCUUUGCAAGACCCCCUUGAUGUCUUCAAGCUAAGUGAUUCCUAAUUUUCAUCCUGUCUUCUCUUGUCUUUUUGAUUUUUCACUGCCCACUGUAUAGGAGAUCCCCUAUUACCUAUUUUUUUUUUUUUUUACUCUCUUCAUUUAAGGUCCCACUCAGAUGCCAUCUCUUCUAGGAAAUCUUCCUAAUUUACUUCCUUGCUAGAGAGGAUCAUUCAAUCUUUGAAUCUUUCAGAUCAUUGUUUGACUUCUCUCAUGCACCAAAUCACUUUAUAAUUUAUAUCAUAAUUAUAAGUUGGAAAAUGUGCUUUCUUUUUUUCUCCCCAUUUCUAAUUUAUUUAUUUUUUAGAUUAUACAGAACAGAAGGGAAAAACCAUGAGGAAAAAAAAAAGAAAAUUGUAUGCAUUGAACCACAUUCAGUAUCCAUUAUUAUUCAGUAUCUAUUAGAAUUGCCUGUAACCACCUCAUUGUUGAAAAGAAUCAACUCCAUCACAUUUGAUCAUCACAUAAUCUUGUUGUACACAAUGUUUUCCUGGUUCUGCUUGUUUCAUUCAACAUCAGUUCAUAUAAAUCUUUUCUAAAAUCAGCCUGUUCAUCAUUUUUUAUAGAACAGUAAUAUUCCAUUACAUUCAUAUUAUAACAUACUCAUUUUCCAAUUCUUUGCCACCACAAAAAGAACUGCUACAAACAUUUUUGCACAUAUGGGUCCCUUUUCUUCUUUUAUGAUUUUUUGGGGAUACAGAUCUAAUAGUGGUACUGCUGGAUCAAAGAAUAUGCAUGAUUUUAUAGCCCUUUGAACAUAGUUUCAAAUUGCUCUCUAGAAUGGUUGGAUCUGUUCACAACUCCACCAAAAAUGUAUUAAUGUCCCGGUUUUCCCACAUCCCCUUCAACAUUUUUCAUUAUCUUUUCUUAUCAUCUUAGUCAGUCUGAUAGGUGUGAGAUGGUACCUCAGAAUUGUUUUAAUUUGCAUUUCUCUAAUCAAUAGUGAUUUAGAGCAUUUUUUUUCCAUAUGACUAUAAGUGGCUUUAAUUCCUUCAGCUGAGAAUUGUCUGUGCAUAUCCUUUGACCAUUUAUCAAUUGGGAAGUGAUUUUUAUUUUUAUAAAAUUGAUUGAGUUUUCUGUGUAUUUUAGAAAUAAGUCCUUUAUCAGAAAUACUGGCUGUAAAAAAAAAAUGUUUUCCAGCUUUCUCCUUUCCUUCUAAUCUUGGCUGCAUUGGUUUAGUUUGUGCAAAAACUUUUUAAUUUAAUGUAAUCAAAGUUAUCCAUUUUGUAUUUCAUAGUGUUCUCUAGUUCUUCUUUGGUCAUAAAUUCCUUCCUUCUCCACAAAUUUGAUAUGUAAACUAUCCCUUGCUCUCCUAAUUUGCUUACAGUAUCACCCUUUAUGGGGUGUGAGAUGUACAUCUAUGCCUAGUUUCUGCCAUACUCUUUUCCAGUGUUUCCAGCAAUUUUUGUCAGAUAGUGAAUUCUUAUCACAGAAACUAGAUUCUUCGAGUUUAUCAAACAUAGUACUUUCUAAUUGUAUUUCACCUUUUAUUAAUCUAGUUUCAAAUAGUUACCUUUCAUGAACUCUUUGUCUAGAUUAAACUCACCUGAUAACACAUAAUAUUUUACCUUUUUUCACUGUACUUUUGCUCAAGUGGUCUCCUAUAUCUGGAAUUCACUCCCUUCUUAACUCCCAAGCAUCCUUCAAAGCACAGCUCAUGUAAGGCCUUUCCUCAAUCCCCCACUUAUUGGCACACUCUCCCUCUGGAAAUUGAGAACAUGUUGUAUUCUCCUUCCCUACAGAAGUUAAGCUCCCUGAGGGUAGGGCCUGCUUUGUCUUUGUAUUCUCAGUGCCAGACAUAUAGUAAGACUUUAAUAAAUGUUUGUUGAAUUUAAUUGAUUUUGUAUACAUCUCCUCUUCCUACUAGGCCAUAAAGUCCUUGAAAACAUGUUCUGACAUUUUUUCCAUUUUGAUCUUUCCAGCACUCAGCAGAGAACAUUCUAUUCAUUUUGUUGCUGUUCAGUUGUUUCCCUUGUAUCUGAUUCCUUGUGGCCCUAUUUGGGGUUUUCCUGGCAAAGACACUCAAAUGGUUUGCCAUUUCCUUCUCCAGCUCAUUUUACAGAUGAAGAACUGAGGCAAACAGGGUGAAGUGACUUGCCCAGAAUCACACAGCCAGUAAAUCUCUGAGGCUGGAUUUGAACUGAGAAAGAAUGAAUCUCUUCCUGACUCCAGAGGAGGUAUUUUAUCCAUUGUGCCAUCUAGUUGCCCUUCCUCCCCAUAGCAGGAGCUUAAUAAAUACUUGUGAAAUUAUUGUUGUCAGUUAUUAAUAACUUCUUCCCUACAGUGAACCAAAAUGAGUUUUCCUCUAGCUUAGGUUUAUAGAUCUGCAGCUAGAAGGGACCUCAGAAGGCAUCUAGUCCAACCCUUUCAUUUCACAGAUGAACAAAUGGAGGUCCAUGAAAGCUAAAUAACUUGCAAGAUUUGAACCCUGAGCUCUGCCUUUCCUCUGUACCAUGCUACCUCCCAUAGCCUUCAUUCUGUUCUCUGGGAUCCUUCAGAAUAUACCUAAUUUUUCUUUUAUGAGAGCACUUCAAAUAUCCAGAAGGAAUAAAAGUUGGUAAACUAGUAUUUAAAUGAAGAGGUGAAGUUAAAUUGAGACCUCAGGAUAAAAGGGCACUAGGUGGCACAGUGGAUAGAGUGCCAGGCCUGGAAUCAGGGAGAUCUGAAUUCAAAUUUGACCUCAGACACUUAUCGACAAUGUGAUCCCUGUUUGCCUCAGUUUUCUCAUCUGACAAAUGAACUAGAGAAAAAAAUGGCAAACCACUCUAGAAUCUCUACCAAGAAAAUCCCAAAUGGGGACACAGAGAACUGGACAUGAUAGAGAUUACUGAACCACAAUAAAUAAUGGAGGGGAAAAAUGCAGUCAGAACUCAACAGUUUGAGAUCUUUAGAGGCAACUAGGUGGUAGAAAGACCCAAAUUCAAAUUUAGCUUCAAACACUGAUUAGCUGUGAGAUCCUGGGCAAGCCACUUAACCUUCCAGAGAUCUACCUCAGUUUUUUCAACCAUAAAAUGGGGAUAACAGCACCUACCUCUCAGGGUUAUUAUGAGGAUCAAAUGAGAUAUUUGUAAAGUACUUUGUAAUCAUUAAAGUACUAUUAAAUGCUUUUACUUUGAUGAUGGUUAUUAUCAUUAGUAGUCCACUAAAAGCAUGUUUUCUGAACUUGGAAUUAGGAGACCUCAUUCAAGGCCCUCUGACAAUUAUUAGCAUUGGGCAAGUCAUUUUAUUUCUCUGAUGCUCAGUUUUCUCACUUUUAAAAUGGGGGUAAUCAUACUUUUACUGACUUCACAAAAUGUUAUAAAGAUUCAAACUAUAAAGCUUAUGAACUCUAAAUGCUAUAUGAGUCAAUUAUCAUUAUUUUUUCCAAAUUUCUAUAAACUGAAAGCUCAUAAAAUGCUCCUCAUACACUAUUGCAAUUAUUUUGUAUGGCAUUAUAUAUGUACAUGUCUUCCCCGACAGAAUAUAAACUGGUUGAGAGUAGAAAUUUUUUUUUUUUUGAUUUGUAUCUCCAGUGUCUAGCACUGAAGAAGCUUAAGAAAUGUUUGUUGAUUAAUUAAUUAGCUAGUUGAUCUUUACAACAGCUCUGUGUAAGGUAAAUAUAAUAAUUAUCUCCAUUUUAUAGCUGAAGAAAUCAAGGCUUAGACAAGUUAAGUGACUUAGAUAGCUUGUAUGUGUAUGAGGCUGGAUUCCAAUGCUGCUCUUCCUGACUCCAAAUUCAGCACACCAGACACAAUGACAAGCUGCUUCUCGUGUGUUGUAGGAAACUACAAUGGUCAGUGAAACAACUUUAUGGGGCAGGAGGCUGUUAUUUCUGCAGGAACAAUGUUAUAAAGAUAAUCCUAGUACAGUAUUUGUUAUAAUAGAUUCAUAAUAAUAUUGCUGAACUACACCCACCAAUGUCAACAACAUUAUGUGGAAUAUGCCAAUAUUGUUUCUUUUUCCAGCUAUGGAAUUCUACUAUUCUCCUGGCUCCUCAGGCUUUCCUUCUCCUCACUAAACAUUGCCAGUUCCUUUUGAGUGAGUUUCUGCAAGACUCGUCUGCCCACAAGAAAAGGUGACGUACAAUUUGGUCAUAAGCCAGGUCAGUCUUGACUUGAGCUAUUGGGUAUACUUCAUAUUCUUGGGUCUGUUGACUUAAGAGAAGUCAUUCACUGAUAAAGACUGGGCUUGGUUGGGCUGGGGAGUUCAAGUAAUUCUCUCAGUUCCAUUCCUCUCCUCCCUUUCCCUCCCCACUUCUUUCUGUUUGAAUUCAGAAGAACUUUAGACUUGGAGACUUAUUAGGAAGUCAUAUUCUUAAUAAUAGCUUUCCAUAGUUUGGGGUUUUUUUUUGAUUCUUGUAACAACUCUGUGAGGUAGAUACCAUUGUUAUCCCAUUUUACAGAUUUUACAAUCCCAAGGUUCAGGGAGAUGAAGAUAUUUACCAGGAUCAUGCAGCUACUAAGUGUUUGAGUUGGGGUUUGAAUUCUGAUUUUUCUGACUCUCAAUUCAAUGAGCUAUCUCUUCUUUCAAUCAUACUUCUUUCAAUUCAUACAACAUACUAAGUCUGAUAUUCAAGAUCUUUGUCCCAUUGUGUAUGUAUACAUGUGUGUGUAAACAAUAAUAGGAAAAACAAAGCUUUCCCUUUGAAGAAUCAUCCAUAAAAAAUACAUCCCAGGGCAUGGGGGAAAUACUAUAGUUACCUUGGUAGGUCAUAAUGUCUGUUCUUUCGUUCUUUUAUUUUUUUGUUUUGAGUCUUUUUUAAAUAUGUAUUAUUUUCCCAAAUAUACACAGAUAGUUUUCCACAUUCAUCAUUGUAAGACUUUGUGUUCUAAGUUUUUCUCCCUCUCUCUCUUACCUUUCUCUUCUCCAAGAUGGCAAGCAAUCCAACACAGAUUAAAUAUGUACAAUCCUCUUAAACAUAUUUCCACAUUUACCAUGCUGUGCAAGAAAAAUCAGACCAAAAGUUAAAAACCAUGAGAAAGAAAAAGCAAACAAACAAAAAAGGCGAAAAUACCAUCCUUCGAUCCCUAUUCAGUAUCCAUCAUAUUCUCUCUGGGUGCAGAUGCACUUUACAUCCCAAGUCUAUUGGAAUUGAAUCAUUACACUAUUGAGAGUAGUUGUCAAGUCCAUGAUGGCUAUACUAAAACUUAUAUUUUUUACUUCUCAGUCAUAUUCUUGACAUGAAAUCUGUAUAAACUGCUUUGUAAGUCUCAAAGUACUCUAUAAGUCAUAGCUAAUAUUAUGUUAAUGAAUUUUGCAAGAUGUCUAUACUUAAUAGUCUUAGAAAGUUAGAGAAGGAAAGAGAUUUGUCCAUGGUGACAUAGCUAGUGAAUGCAAGUUGCACCCACGUCUUGACUCCAAAUCAACACUCUGUUUAUUAUUAUUAUGAGUGAUAGUAAUAGUAAAAGGUAAAAGGGUGAUGGUGGGAGUAGGGAUAGAGAUGGAAGGAGGGAGGAGGAAGAGGAGAAAGAAGGAAGAAAAAGAAGAAAAAGGAAGAGAAGGAGGAAGAGGAGGAAGAGAAGAAAAAAGAA
rnacentral:lncRNA from 1 species